rnacentral:rRNA from 1 species
GCAUAACUUGAGUACUGUAGGGGAGACUGGAAUUCCUGGUGUAGCGGUGAAAUGCGCAGAUAUCAGGAGGAACACCGGUGGCGAAGGCGGGUCUCUGGGCAGUAACUGACGCUGAGGAGCGAAAGCAUGGGUAGCGAACAGGAUUAGAUGCCCUGGUAGUCCAUGCCGUAAACGGUGGGCGCUAGGUGUAGGGGUCUUCCACGACUUCUGUGCCGUAGCUAACGCAUUAAGCGCCCCGCCUGGGGAGUACGGCCGCAAGGCUAAAACUCAAAGGAAUUGACGGGGGCCCGCACAAGCGGCGGAGCAUGUGGAUUAAUUCGAUGCAACGCGAAGAACCUUACCUGGGCUUGACAUAUACGGGACGGGGCCAGAGAUGGUCCUUCCCUUGUGGCUCGUAUACAGGUGGUGCAUGGUUGUCGUCGGCUCGUGUCGUGAGAUGUUGGGCUAAGUCCCGCAACGAGCGCAACCCUUGUCUCAUGUUGCCAGCACGUUGUGGUGGGGACUCGUGAGAAACUGCCGGGGUCAACUCGGAGGAAGGUGGGGAUGACGUCAAAUCAUCAUGCCCCUUAUGUCCAGGGCUUCACACAUGCUACAAUGGUCGGUACAGUGGGUUGCGAUACCGUGAGGUGGAGCUAAUCCCUUGAAAGCCGGUCUCAGUUCGGAUCGGGGUCUGCAACUCGACCCCGUGAAGUCGGAGUCGCUAGUAAUCGCAGAUCAGCAACGCUGCGGUGAAUACGUUCCCGGGCCUUGUACACACCG